rnacentral:rRNA from 1 species
UACGAAGGGGGCUAGCGUUGCUCGGAAUCACUGGGCGUACAGGGUGCGUAGGCGGGGCUUUAAGUACGGGGUGAAAUCCUGGAGCUCAACUCCAGAACUGCCUUUGAUACUGAGGAUCUUGAGUCCGGGAGAGGUGAGUGGAACUGCGAGUGUAGAGGUGAAAUUCGUAGAUAUUCGCAAGAACACCAGUGGCGAAGGCGGCUCACUGGCCCGGUACUGACGCUGAGGCACGAAAGCGUGGGGAGCAAACAGG